AUUGAACGCUGGCGGUAUGCUUAACACAUGCAAAGUCGGAACGGAAACGACAAAGAGCUUGCUCUUUGGGCGUCGAGUGGCGGACGGGUGAGUAAUAUAUAGGAAUCUGCCUCAUAGUUUGGGAUAACUACUCGAAAGAGUAGCUAAUACCGGAUAGUAACUACGGUUUAAAGCAGGGGAUCUUCGGACCUUGCGCUAUGGGAUGAGCCUAUACAAGAUUAGCUAGUUGGUAGGGUAAAGGCCUACCAAGGCGACGAUCUUUAGCUGGUUUGAGAGGAUGAUCAGCCACACUGGGACUGAGACACGGCCCAGACUCCUACGGGAGGCAGCAGUGGGGAAUAUUGGGACAAUGGGGGGCAACCCUGAUCCAGCAAUACCGCGUGUGUGAAGAAGGCCCUAGGGUUGUAAAGCACUCUUGUUAGGGAGAAAGGUUUUUGUAGCUAAUAUCUACAGGAGCUGAUGUUACCUAAAGAAUAAGCACCGGCUAACUCCGUGCCAGCCGCCGCGGUAA
rnacentral:rRNA from 1 species